GAGUACUUAGAAGACCAAUUAUUGAUAAAGCUAAGCCAUAGUACCAACUUCCUUCUGUAUUUGAGAAUUGUUUUAUAGGAUUUUUUAUUUAUUGUGAGCAACAAUGUUCAUGCUUCUUACGUUUAUCUAAUGGUCCAGAAUGCGUAUGUGCUUUUACCUAUGGUCUACUACUAAACUAUCUAUGUUAAACAAAGUAUGUGAUUUCCAUAGCUGUAGGCAUCCCUGAAUAAUAGAUAGUGCUUGGGAAGGCAAACCUUUGUGAGGCAUGGGGAUAGGGAACUGGGGUUGGAAGGAUCAGUUUAUCUAUUAGUGACUUUUUAUGCUCCUUUUUCACAGGACAAGACAAAGUUGAAAGGAUUUAGCGAAUUUGAGAAUACAUAUUAUAAAAGACCCAAGAUAAAUGGCAGAUGUUGGUGCCAUACUUUUGAAGUGUUGAUGGAAACUAACAAGCAUUUGUGUCGUAAAGCAAUAGAAAUGUGUAAAUCACAGUCACAACAAGGUAUGGUGAUCCUGCCGGCGGAAAAGAAGUCAUGGAUUGUUGACCUUACAUGGCAACCUUGUAUCAGAAUUCUUAAACUGAUGGUCCUGUAAAGUCAUAUGGUCAUAGACCAGUAAAUUCUGGUUAAGAGGGAUGCUACAGUGCACUCAGGCAACAAUCUGGUGGCCACACUUUCUAACGUGAUCUAAGGUACAACCUAGCAGCAAGGGUAACGUUUUCAGGCUGUAACAACUGAAUUAUGGCUUCAAUGUUCUCAGUGUAGUGGAACUUUAGAAAUAAUUGAAUUUAUCAUAUGUAUCAAUUUAUCUCUCCUGGAAUUAUGAAUCAUAUUUUAUAUGACUGAAAUGUCAGAUGAUUUAUAUCUCAAUCCAGUAUUGGACACUAUGUUGUGAAUGUUGCCUUGCCUUCUCUGGCUCUAUCUAUAUUCAACUUUUUUGUUUCUACAGUAUAUUGUUGUACAGUCAAUCGUUUGUCAAGCAUUUGUUGGAUCUAUUUUGCAUGGGCAAAUUAUUGAAGUUGUAUCAUUCAUGUGGUUCUAAUGUUUUAUAUUUCCGGUGUCGUUUGUUGCAUGUCCACACUAGCAACUGAAUAUUUAUGUAAUUUAAGAACCCAUGUUAAAUCUUUGUAUGCCUUCACGAGGAGAUUUGGAAUGAUGUAUGUUCUUUCUUGUGUAGAAGUAUUGCAUCGACAAUGUUGAAAAUUUAAUUUCAUGUCACUUGUGGGGAAAAUAGAUUUUGUAGUUGCAACAACACUGAAACUUACGUAUGGUACGGUUCAACAUUUUAUUUCAUGAGAAUGUUGAGUUUACCACACAUUGACUAUAUAAUAUUAAAAAAAGUAUUUGCCCAGUCUGCAAGGUGGAUUCCAUUUGGCAUGUUGGAGCAUGGUGUGUCGCCUGAAACGAAGGGAGCGGGACUACCAAAGAGAAUAUGGCGAGAAG